rnacentral:lncRNA from 1 species
GAGGCAAAAUUAUAUUUUCAUCCCGAGAAUUUAUGCCCCUAUUUAUACAUGACAAAACCUUACUGGCCUUAGCAACUGCAGAUUGACAUUGCAUAUUGCUGCCUAAUUUGUUAUCUAUAACAAUUCCCAAAUCUUUCUCGUGUGUGGUUAUCCCUAACUCACUAUCAUUUAGUGUGUAAGUUGCUUGUGCAUUCUUAACCCGAAGUGCAUAACUUUGCAUUUCUCUACGUUAAAUUUCAUCUGCCAUUUUAGUGCCCAGUCCCCCAAUCUAUCCAAAUCCCUCUGCAGCAAGGCAAUAUCCUG